UGGGGAAUAUUGCACAAUGGGCGCAAGCCUGAUGCAGCCAUGCCGCGUGUAUGAAGAAGGCCUUCGGGUUGUAAAGUACUUUCAGCGGGGAGGAAGGGAGUAAAGUUAAUACCUUUGUCCAUUGACGUUACCCGCAGAAGAAGCACCGGCUAACUCCGUGCCAUCAGCCGCGGUAAUACGGAGGGUGCAAGCGUUAAUCGGAAUUACUGGGCGUAAAGCGCACGCAUGCGGUUUGUUAAGUCAGAUGUGAAAUCCCCGGGCUCAACCUGGGAACUGCAUCUGAUACUGGAAAGCUUGAGUAUCGUAGAGGGAGGUAGAAUUCCAGGUGUAGCGGUGAAAUGCGUAGAGAUCUGGAGGAAUACCGGUGGCGAAGGCGGCCACCUGGAAGAAGACUGACGCUCAGGUGCGAAAGCGUGGGGAGCAAACAGG
rnacentral:rRNA from 1 species